rnacentral:lncRNA from 1 species
AGAACCUGGUGGUCACUUGCUCAGCAGGAGGCUGGCGCGCAGCACACGGGGCACGCGGCGAAUGGUCAGUGAGACACGGGUGCCGCGCACCAGGUGGGCUCCGGGCAGCGCUGACUUGCAAGCGGUGGCAUUGGGUGGCAGCGAGGUGGCGUCCAGCUCAUCCACACGGGUAGCUGAGAUGCCGUGGAGCAGGCGUGUGUAAGCUGUGCCCCGGAGCACCAGCAGGCUCCGUGGUUCCACCAGCAGCGAGGUGAUGGGCCGUUGAGGAGGCCUGGGCUGCGGGAAUCAGUUGAUAAUGGUAAAUGGAUAUCCAGAGUUUGGGAGUGUGUGAAAAGUCAGCGGGCAUCCGUAGCUGGUCAGGGGACAAGGGUCAGCAGGCCCUCAGGAGUGGUAAUCUAUAGGUUCUGGGGACAAGACUAUUGGCCCGCCGUGUGUGUGUGUGUGUGUGUGUGUGUGUGUGUGUGUGUGUGUCCAGUUCUUUGGGAGGAGACAGGGCCUAUGCUGCAUUUUAAGACAUAAAGGGCUACUACAUUGUGGGAGCUUCAGCUGGCAUCUGAGGGGCUGGGACAGACAUGGGCAGUCCUAGGGAUACUUACGCAGAGCUAAUCUGGGGGUGCACUGCUGGGGUCAGGCUCUAAUACAGAGGUUAAAGGGAAUGGCCUAUCCCGGGACUCUGGCUGUUAGGGAGGCUUUACUCAGGAAUGGUAUUACAGCAAGCCUGCCUGGGUAGAAGAGAUGGAAAAGACGGAACUUUAGGGAGUGGAGCUAACAUCUGGCCAGGGUGUUCGGAGAGUUGGAGGAAGACUCUAUGAACACUGGGGUAUCAAGAAUGCAUGACUUAAGAGCUAGCAGUCAGAGAUAAGGGUGUCCCCAAAAGAGCCGUGUGAGGUUAAGGGGAAUCUAGAGGUGAUAGAGCAUAUGACUAGAGUUUCAGGACGCUGGUAUUAAGGUGCCCUGUACAGUCUAGGAGGACACAGGGGCACACAUGAGUGAAUGACACAGUGGGAUAUCUUGAGGAUGUCAAGAAUAUGCAUUGGAGCCAGGCACGGGGGCACACGCUUACAACGCUGGCACUGGGAGGAUGGGACAGAAAGAUGGCAAACGUGAGGCCAGCCUGGGCUACAUACAUCUGUUCACAAAAAUAAGUAAACAGUAGUUUCUAAAAAAAA